UACGUAGGGGGCAAGCGUUGUCCGGAGUUACUGGGCGUAAAGCGCAUGCAGGCGGUCCGCUAAGUUUGCGGUGACAGUUUCCGGCUUAACUGGAAAAGUGCCGCGAAAACUGACGGACUUGAGGGCUUCAGAGGGACACGGAAUUCCGGGUGGAGUGGUGAAAUGCGUAGAUAUCCGGAGGAACACCGAAGGCGAAGGCAGUGUCCUGGGGAGCUCCUGACGCUCAGAUGCGAAAGCCAGGGGAGCGAACGGG
rnacentral:rRNA from 1 species